AAACUUUUGUGUCCCUUGGGUGCCCCUGGGCGUUUGUCGUCUGCGCUUCUAGUUUCUGUUAUACGAGCUGGUUGUGUUGUAUGGCCUUCUCCCAGUCGAUCCCUUG
rnacentral:rRNA from 1 species